rnacentral:tRNA from 2 species
GGGUGCAUAGCUCAGAGGUUAGAGCGCUAUCUUCACAUGAUAGAGGUCUCUGGUUCAAAUCCAGAUGCACCCA